rnacentral:lncRNA from 1 species
CUACAUAAAUAGUAAUAAAAUUAAUCAUAAAUUAUUUUAAAAUUAUUCUAAAUAUGUUCAUGAUUCUAGAUUUUAUUUGCAAAGAUUAGAUGCAACUUUUUUUAGAAAAAUAAAGUUUUUUUUUUGCAUUUAUCUUCAUAGGAUAUAGUCACAAUGGCACCCCUAACAUCAUAAGAAGACUAAUUGAAUAGAAAAAAAAGAGAGAUCUAAUCUUUAUUACCUCCUA